UGACCUACGGGAGGCAGCAGUGAGGAAUAUUGGUCAAUGGGCGCGAGCCUGAACCAGCCAAGUCGCGUGAGGGAUGAAGGAUCUAUGGUUCGUAAACCUCUUUUAUAAGGGAAUAAAGUGCGGGACGCGUCCCGCUUCGCAUGUACCUUAUGAAUAAGGAUCGGCUAACUCCGUGCCAGCAGCCGCGGUAAUACGGAGGAUCCGAGCGUUGUCCGGAAUUACUGGGUGUAAAGGGAGCGUAGGCGGGAAGCCAAGUCAGCUGUGAAAACUACGGGCUUAACCUGUAGACUGCAGUUGAAACUGGC
rnacentral:rRNA from 1 species